AGCAACAAAAAAUAGUGCUUCCCUUGAACCCAGUGUUGUUCCCACUACCAACCAGGCAGGAAAAAAUAUUGACAAGGCCAAUUCAGAGAGACAAAUGAAAACACAAAACACAGGCGAAAAUACUCGCUUCACCCGUGGCGCUGCCAACAAAUAUAUUUCAAAUCAAGUUGAAAAUACCAAUAAUGCAACACCUAAAUUUAUUUCACCAGAGACACUUAGAAAUGCUGCAAAAAAAAGAGAACUGAAAAAGAAAGCAUGAAAGUGAUACUUACAACUCUUUGGAGCAAGAUGAACCUGAAGGAGCGGCUUACUACUGCAGCGAAGAAAUCCUACGGAUGUGCGUGGUCAUCCACAUUUUUCCAUUUGUAUCACUUAGUGAUUCACUAUCUAGUUCCAACUUUGUAACUUAGGUAGCCCUUUCAAAUAUUUUUCAAGACCUUGAAUCUGGAUGACCAAAGUUAUUAAUAUGA